rnacentral:rRNA from 1 species
AUUGAACGCUGGCGGCAGGCCUAACACAUGCAAGUCGAACGAGUGGCGGACGGGUGAGUAAUGUCUGGGAAACUGCCCGAUGGAGGGGGAUAACUACUGGAAACGGUAGCUAAUACCGCAUACCAUCGGAUGUGCCCAGCUGGGAUUGGCUAGUGGGGGGGGUAACGGCUCACCUAGGCGGCGAUCCGUAACUGGUCUGAGAGGAUGACGGGCCAAACUGGAACGGAGACACGGCCCAGACUCUUACGGGAGGCAGCAGGGGGGAAUAUUGCACAAGGGGUGCAAGCCGGAUGAAGCCAUGCGGCGGGUAUGAAGAAGGCCUCCGGGUUGUAAAGUCCUUUCAGCGAGGAGGCGUUACUCGCAGAAGAAGCAACGGCUAACUCCGUGCCAGCAGCCGCGGUAAUAC